AUGUCCUCUGUGCUUGCCUACAUUUUAUAUCAACUGAAGAAAAACAAAGAGAGCACCUGCCAUCUUCUAGGCAAUAGAAUAUGUUUUCCCGGCAAUACGAUGUGUUCUUCUAGCUUUUUGAUCUGUUACUAUAAGCGGGAGUUACAAAUGAUAUCUCUAGAAUAUAUGGUAGUACAAGUCUGUAUUUUUCUGCAAAUCCCUCAUGCUAUUCUUAGUGCUGCUAAAAAGUCGGUUAAGUUCAGUCAAAAGUUUGCUCUAUUAUCUCUGCUGGGAUUUGUUCCUACAUUUUUGCUUGAGAUAUCUGUUGUCGUACAGAUUUAG
rnacentral:rRNA from 1 species